rnacentral:rRNA from 1 species
UACGGCGUGUGCGAGCGUUAAUCGGAAUUACUGGGCGUAAAGGGCGCGUAGGCGGCUGAUCAAGUCAGGUGUGAAAGCCCACGGCUUAACCGUGUGAAGUGCAUCUGAAACUGGUCGGCUUGAGUAUCGGAGAGGAAAGUGGAAUUCCCGGUGUAGAGGUGAAAUUCGUAGAUAUCGGGAGGAAUACCGGUGGCGAAGGCGACUUUCUGGACGAAUACUGACGCUGAGGCGCGAAAGCGUGGGGAGCACACAGGAGGCGAUAACCGUGUAGUCC